GAUGAACGCUAGCUACAGGCUUAACACAUGCAAGUCGCGGGGCAGCAUGGGGGUUGCUUGCAAUCCCUGAUGGCGACCGGCGCACGGGUGAGUAACGCGUAUCCAACCUGCCCUUCACCACGGGAUAACCCGGCGAAAGUCGGACUAAUACCGUAUGUUGUCCAUUGACGGCAUCCGAUUUGGACGAAAGGCUUAGCGGUGAGGGAUGGGGAUGCGUCCGAUUAGCUUGACGGCGGGGUAACGGCCCACCGUGGCAACGAUCGGUAGGGGUUCUGAGAGGAAGAUCCCCCACACUGGAACUGAGACACGGUCCAGACUCCUACGGGAGGCAGCAGUGAGGAAUAUUGGUCAAUGGGCGGAAGCCUGAACCAGCCAAGUAGCGUGCAGGAUGACGGCCCUAUGGGUUGUAAACUGCUUUUAUGCGGGGAUAAAGGAGCCCACGUGUGGGUUUUUGCAGGUAC
rnacentral:rRNA from 1 species